rnacentral:rRNA from 1 species
AAUAUUAGUCAAUGCUCGCAAGAGUGAACUAGCUAACUGAAAUCAUCUUUGUGUCAAAGAUGAUAACAUAAGGGAAAAUAAUGAUAUUACCUUAUUUAUAGUGUCGUCCAAAUACUCGUGCCAGAAGACUCGGUAAGGCGAGAGACGCAAACGUUAGUCGUCUUAAUCAGGCGUAAAGGGUUUGUAGGCUGCUUUAAGAAUCUACAUCAUCGAUUUACUCGUUUAUAGUUAUUAUAUUCAAUAUUGUAAUGUAGAUGAGAUAAUUUAGAUCAAUUAAAGCUAGAAUCAAAAGGAGGUUAAGUUAUUAAUGCUUUAGGGAGAGUUGGUAUUUGUAGAUCUAAAGUAGAAAACUAUGGGCGAAGGCUUUUUUCCAAUAAUGAUUGACGCUGAGAAACUAAGGUGAGGGCAGAAAAAAGGAUUAGAGACCCUUGUAUUCCUCACUGUCAACAAUGAAUGGAAGUCAUUACAAUAGAAGUAAAGGCGAUGUUAACACGAAAAACCAUUCCGCCUUGUGAGUACGAUUGCAAAAUUGAAAACAAAAAAAUUAGUCGGUUUCGGAGCAAACGAAGUGAAGCAUGUUAUUUAAUU